UCAGACAUGGUGUAGUGGGAACACAGCCUUUUAAUGUUGGAGAUCAGUGAAAGAUUAAGAGGUAGACCGGGGUUCAAGUCCCUGUGUCUGAA